rnacentral:rRNA from 1 species
AACGUAGGAGACAAACGUUAUCCGGAGUUACUGGGCGUAAAGGGCGUGUAGGUGGUAUCGUAAGUCUGGCGUGAAAUUUCUCGGCUUAACCGAGGCAGGUCGUCGGAUACUGUCGGGCUAGAGUCCGGAAGAGGCGAGUGGAAUUCCCGGUGUAGCGGUGAAAUGCGCAGAGUAUCGGGAGGAACACCAAUGGCGAAGGCAGCUCGCUGGGACGGUACUGACGCUGAGACGGCGAAAGCGUGG